rnacentral:rRNA from 1 species
GACGAACGCUGGCGGCGUGCCUAAUACAUGCAAGUCGAGCGAAGCGGCGGACGGGUGAGUAACACGUAAGGACCCUACCGAUAAGCGGGGGACCACAUCCGGAAACGGAUGCUAAUACCGCAUACUUAUCGAUGGCCUUGCGGUGCAUUAGCUCGUUGGUGGGGUAACGGCCUACCAAGGCACUGAGGCAUAGCCGACCUGAGAGGGUAAUCGGCCACAGUGGGACUGAGACACGGCCCAAACGCCUACGGGAGGCAGCAGUAGGGAAUCUUCCGCAAUGGGCGCAAGCCUGACGGAGCAACGCCGCGUGAGUGAAGAAGGUUUUCGGAUCGUAAAGCUCUGUUGUAAGAGAAGCGGUAUCUUACCAGAAAGCCACGGCUAACUCCGUGCCAGCAGCCGCGGUAAUUC